AAGUCGAACGCGAAAGGGACUUCGGUCCUGAGUAAAGUGGCGCACGGGUGAGUAACGCGUAGAUAACCUGUCUUCAUGUCUGGAAUAAUACGCCGAAAGGGGUACUAAUACCGGAUAUUCUUGCUUUUCAUAAGUUAUGCAAGCAAAGGUGGCCUCUGCAUAUGCUACUGCAUGAAGAGGGGUCUGCGUACCAUUAGCUAGUAGGUGGGGUAAUGGCCUACCUAGGCGACGAUGGUUAGCGGGUCUGAGAGGAUGAUCCGCCACACUGGCACUGGAACACGGGCCAGACUCCUACGGGAGGCAGCAGUGAGGAAUAUUGGUCAAUGGGCGGGAGCCUGAACCAGCCAAGUCGCCGUGAAGGAAGAAGGAUCUAUGGUUCGUAAACUUCUUUUGCAGGGGAAUAAAGUGCAGGACGUGUCCUGUUUUGUAUGUACCCUGAGAAUAAGGAUCGGCUAACUCCGUGCCAGCCGCCGC
rnacentral:rRNA from 1 species